AGAGAAGAAAGUGCGUGAGAGUAACUGUUCACGUUUCGACGGUAUCUAACCAGAAAGCCACGGCUAACUACGUGCCAGCAGCCGCGGUAAUACGUAGGUGGCAAGCGUUAUCCGGAUUUAUUGGGCGUAAAGGGAACGCAGGCGGUCUUUUAGGUCUGAUGUGAAAGCCUUCGGCUUAACCGGAGUAGUGCAUUGGAAACUGGGAGACUUGAGUGCAGAAGAGGAGAGUGGAACUCCAUGUGUAGCGGUGAAAUGCGUAGAUAUAUGGAAGAACACCAGUGGCGAAAGCGGCUCUCUGGUCUGUAACUGACGCUGAGGUUCGAAAGCGUGGGUAGCAAACAGGAUUAGAUACCCUGGUAGUCCACGCCGUAAACGAUGAAUGCUAAGUGUUGGAGGGUUUCCGCCCU
rnacentral:rRNA from 1 species